GAAAGCGGAUCUAAACUCAGCGGCUGUUCUUCUCUCCGUUUUUCAUUUGGACCAAAUCCUGGACGUGUUUAAACAGCGUGAUUUAUUAAUGGUAUAUCGUACUUGUUCUUGUUCGUUAUCGUUACUGUCGCAGUUUUUAUUCAUUUUAUUAUAACCUUUUGAAGUUUUGUUGAUUUUCAUGAUUAUUUGAGAUUUUGUUCAUGUUGGUGAUUUUUUUCAGAUUUUGUCAAUGUUUGUGACUUUUUCAGAUUUUGUUCAUGAUGGUGAUUUUUCAGAUUUUGUUCAUGUUGGUGACUUUUUCAGAUUUUUUUCAUGUUGGUGAUUUUUCAGGUUUUGUUCAUGUUGGUGACUUUUUCAGAUUUUGUUCAUGUUUGUGACUUUUUCAGGUUUUGUUCAUGUUUGUGACUUUUUCAGAUUUUGUUCAUGUUUGUGACUUUUUCAGAUUUUGUUCAUGUUGGUGAUUUUUCAGAUUUUGUUCAUGUUUGUGACUUUUUCAGGUUUUGUUCAUGUUUGUGACUUUUUCAGGUUUUGUUCAUGUUUGUGACUUUUUCAGAUUUUGUUCAUGUUUGUGACUUUUUCAGGUUUUGUUCAUGUUUGUGACUUUUUCAGAUUUUGUUCAUGUUUGUGACUUUUUCAGGUUUUGUUCAUGUUGGUGAUUUUUCAGAUUUUGUUCAUGUUUGUGACUUUUUCAGAUUUUGUUCAUGUUGGUGACUUUUUCAGAUUUUGUUCAUGAUUCUUUCGCUCUCAUGUCAUAGGUAUGGGAUCAAAUUUCCGUCAAUAGGUUCCAACCAACAGGUAGUGAGCUAUUCAGGGUUGUUUAAAAACCGCAUGCUCUGGAAUUUGCGAUACUCCUACUACGUUUUUUUUCGAUUGCCACCAAUCUCGGUCAGCAUGAUCUCAAGACAUUGGGGAUGCUAAAUUGCGGAGGGAUAUUUGAUAUCUCGAACGGUUUGGCUGUGGCGAGGCGACGAAAUUAUGGCGAGAAUUGGCAAACAGGAAAUGGCUAAUAGCUAUUGCACACAUUGUCUGAUUUAUAAUACCGUAUAAUACCGAUCACAUAGAUGUGACUAUCAGGAGUCAAAGUUAUAGCGCCAUCAACUGGCAGCAGGAAGUGUGUCGUUUUCAAAAUGCUUUAAAAUCAGCUUCUUAAUUUUACCCCAUUUGCUUAAAACUUCAUCAGAAUAAUGUCAAAACAUGGCCGAUGAGAAUCUGUAAAGGGGUCUUUGAUACA